ACCAAGUUUGACUAUUUUUGCAUUUGACAAAUAAUUGACACAUCUAUUAUAAUAGCAAACUUAAAUGUCAUUUCAUUAUUUGAAAUGAUAUAAAAUAAGAAAAACUUAUAUAAACAUCUUAAGUUACAAUUGUCACAUACACAUACUAUAUUGCAAUCUAUUUAUUAGGCGGGCACAAUAGUGAUCUUCUUUUUGACGUAUGUUCCUUGGUCGUGAUCUUGACGUAACCAUGGAGUGUCCUCAGCAUUUAUUAGUAUGCUCGGAUCUUUGGUCACAUUGAAAGGCGUGAUUCGGUCAUCCCUUUCAUAAUCUUCUGAAAUAUCUGACUUGUCCUCAAUUCCCACAAUGUUUCUUUUCCCUGAGAGAACUAUAUGGCGUUUUGGCUCAUUUGUUGAUUUGUUGUCAUUUUUCCCUCUCUUCUGUUUUGUAGACAUGUCUUUCACAUAGAACACCUGAUUCACAUCAGCAGCA
rnacentral:lncRNA from 1 species